rnacentral:rRNA from 1 species
UACGAAGGGGGCUAGCGUUGCUCGGAAUCACUGGGCGUAAAGCGCACGUAGGCGGAUUGCUAAGUCAGGGGUGAAAUCCUGGAGCUCAACUCCAGAACUGCCUUUGAUACUGGCGACCUUGAGUCCGGGAGAGGUGAGUGGAACUGCGAGUGUAGAGGUGAAAUGCGCAGAUAUCAGGAGGAACACCGAUUGCGAAGGCAGCUCGCUGGGCAUUAACUGACGCUGAGGAGCGAAAGCCAGGGGAGCAAACGGG